rnacentral:misc_RNA from 1 species
GAUGAAGAACGCAGCAAAAUGCGAUAAGUAAUGUGAAUUGCAGAAUUCAGUGAAUCAUCGAAUCUUUGAACGCACAUUGCGCCCGCUGGUAUUCCGGCGGGCAUGCCUGUUCGAGCGUCAUUUCAACCCUCAAGCCCCCGGGUUUGGUGUUGGGGAUCGGCUCUGCCCUUCUGGGCGGUGCCGCCCCCGAAAUACAUUGGCGGUCUCGCUGCAGCCUCCAUUGCGUAGUAGCUAACACCUCGCAACUGGAACGCGGCGCGGCCAUGCCGUAAAACCCCAAUUUCUGAAUGUUGACCUCGGAUCAGGUAGGAAUACCCGCUGAACUUAAGCAUAUCAAUAAGCGGAGGA